rnacentral:rRNA from 1 species
AUUGAACGCUGGCGGCAGGCCUAACACAUGCAAGUCGAGCGGAUGAAGGGAGCUUGCUCCUGGAUUCAGCGGCGGACGGGUGAGUAAUGCCUAGGAAUCUGCCUGGUAGUGGGGGAUAACGUCCGGAAACGGGCGCUAAUACCGCAUACGUCCUGAGGGAGAAAGUGGGGGAUCUUCGGACCUCACGCUAUCAGAUGAGCCUAGGUCGGAUUAGCUAGUUGGUGGGGUAAAGGCCUACCAAGGCGACGAUCCGUAACUGGUCUGAGAGGAUGAUCAGUCACACUGGAACUGAGACACGGUCCAGACUCCUACGGGAGGCAGCAGUGGGGAAUAUUGGACAAUGGGCGAAAGCCUGAUCCAGCCAUGCCGCGUGUGUGAAGAAGGUCUUCGGAUUGUAAAGCACUUUAAGUUGGGAGGAAGGGCAGUAAGUUAAUACCUUGCUGUUUUGACGUUACCAACAGAAUAAGCACCGGCUAACUUCGUGCCAGCAGCCGCGGUAAUACGAAGGGUGCAAGCGUUAAUCGGAAUUACUGGGCGUAAAGCGCGCGUAGGUGGUUCAGCAAGUUGGAUGUGAAAUCCCCGGGCUCAACCUGGGAACUGCAUCCCAAACUACUGAGCUAGAGUACGGUAGAGGGUAGUGGGAAUUUCCCUGUGUAGCGGUGAAAUGCGUAGAUAUAGGAAGGAACACCAUGGCGAAAGGCCACCACCUGGACUGAUGUGACACUGAAGUGCGAAAGCGUGGGGAACAAACGG